CAGCACCUCAAGUGGUCAGGAUGAUUAUUGAGCCUAAAGCGUCCGUAGCCGGACUAGUAAACCCUUGGGUAAAUUGGGCAGCUUAACUGUCCAAAUUCCGAGGGGACUGCUAGUCUUGGGACCGGGAGAGGUCAGAGGUACUCAAGGGGUAGGGGCUAAAUCCUGUAAUCCUUUGGGGACCACCAGUGGCGAAGGCGUCUGACUAGAACGGAUCCGACGGUAAGGGACGAAACCCUGGGGCGCGAACCGGAUUAGAGACCCGAGUAGUCC
rnacentral:rRNA from 1 species